CAUCGUCAGAGCACACAUGUGCCAACUCCUGGCUCAACAACGAACUGACUUGUGUCGCUUAAGACAGCAACGGCUUUUCAAGAUCAACUGAGAACCUGACUCACUCAUCAUUUGAAUCCAGGCUGACUGUCAAACUGCGUACCCACACAUGUAGGGAGGACAGUUACAACAGGCCAGAUCUGCAGCAGGUUCGCGUCUUACCAACCACAUACAGAAGCUGACAGUUAUGGCUAAGUGUGGGAGACAAACCGAUGGGGAAGCUGAGGCUUUAUAAGAUGUUUCUCAAAUGUACCAUGACAACCUGUCAUGCUCGGCUCUGUCCGCCUACAGCAACACAGAAGGGUUCAUUCCCCAUCGGUGAUCAGUGGAACAUAACCUGUGUAUGGAAAAAUGGCAGCAGGUGUCCCCAGGGGGCGGGGGAUAUGAGCUGGGCUGCAGCAUCAUUUCUCAUCUGGAUGGAACAUUAAUAACACUGAGACCCGGGGAGAAAGCUCCAUCUGGGCCAGGCCGGUGCGUUGCUGAGGGGACAGGCCACUGACUCCACAAGUCUAUAAUCUCUCAUAUAGCGCUACGGCAGCCUGCAGGGCUCACUUGGAAAUA